GAGGAGAUCGGUUUUAGAUUUUUUGUUUCUUUUUCUUUUUCUUUUUCAGACAGGGUUUUGCUCUGUUGCCCAGGCUGGGUUGUCUCAUAUCCAUUGUAUCUCAUAACAAGGAGGUGUUCCAUUUAAAUUCCUUCCUUUCAAAAUGAAUCAAGGCAGCCGGCAAGGUAUCACGAGAUACAAGACAAAAUGAACUAAAAAUUAAGUCUGUCAUUGGGAAAAAAAAAAAAAAAGGACAAAGGGAGGGAAAUAAGAUCCAAGAGUGAGACCAGGACAAACAGAGCAAGGUAUGAGGGCCUGGCUACUUACUACAGACGGGACACAGAUUUGCCAGCAAAGCUUUCUAAGUAGCCCAUGCAAAGAAAGAGGCACUAUCAAUCUCACGAGGUAGUGUCCACAGAUAAAACAGACGUGCUCUUCAGGAAAAUUAACAGGCAGGGGGUUGGGGGCAGAGCGGUUAUUCUCUUAGGAAGAUACAGGGGCCCAUUCCAAAACCAAGCGGAGUGGAGAGACCAUCUAUGGGCAGGGCUGGUGCUCCUGAGAACAGGAUUUAGUCCUGUACAAAGACAAAUGCACAACUGAAGGCCCGGAGUCCUGUGCCACUGGGCGUGGCCACAGUAACUUCAACUUGGAAAAUAUUUUAAGCAUGUGUAACCAAAUACUCAUUUUGACCAGGA
rnacentral:lncRNA from 1 species